rnacentral:rRNA from 1 species
AGAGUUUGAUCCUGGCUCAGGACAAACGCUGGCGGCGUGCGUUAAACAUGCAAGUCGGACGGGGUUCUUCCUUCGGGGGGGGCUUAGUGGCGGACGGCUGAGUAGCACGUAACCGACCUGCCCCGCGGAGGGGGAUAGCGGCCGGAAACGGCCGGUAAUACCGCAUGCGCUCUUCGUCGUGGGUGGUGGAGAGGAAAGCAGGCGACUGUGCCGCGGGAGGGGGUUGCGGCCCAUCAGUUAGUCGGUGGGGUGAUGGCCUACCGAGGCGAUGACGGGUGGCCGGUCUGAGAGGAUGGACGGCCAGACUGGGACUGGGAGACGGCCCAGACACCUACGGGUGGCAGCAGUUAGGGAUCUUGCGCAAUGGGCUGACGCCUGACGCAGCGACGCCGCGUGGGGGAGGACGGCCUUCGGGUUGUAAACCUCUUUUCUGGGGGACGAGGAUGGACGGUACCCCAGGAAGAAGCACCGGCUAACCCCGUGCCAGCAGCCGCGGUAAUACGGGGGGUGCGAGCGUUGUCCGGAUUCACUGGGCGUAAAGGGCGCGUAGGCGGUCUGGUCAGUCGGUCUUUUAAGGGCGGGGCUCAGCCCCGUGGUGGGACCGGGACGGCUGGGCUGGGGCGCGGCAGAGGGGCGCGGAAUGCCGGGUGUAGUGGUGAAAUGCGUAGAGAUCCGGCGGAACACCGGUGGUGGAAGCGGUGCCCUGGGCCGAGGCCGACGCUGAGGCGCGAGAGCGUGGGGAGCGAACCGGAUUAGAUACCCGGGUAGUCCACGCCGUAAACGGUGGGCACUAGGUGUGGCGGGUAUCGACCCCCGCCGUGCCGUCGCCAACGCAUGGAGUGCCCCGCCUGGGGAGUACGGCCGCAAGGCUAAAACUCAAAGGAAUUGACGGGGGCCCGCACAAGCAGCGGAGCGUGUGGUUUAAUUCGAUGCAACGCGAAGAACCUUACCAGGGCUUGACAUGGCGUUUACAGGGGGUGAAAGCCCCUGGCCGCGAGGCGUGCGUCACAGGUGCUGCAUGGCUGUCGUCAGCUCGUGCCGUGAGGUGUUGGGUUAAGUCCCGCAACGAGCGCAACCCCCGGGCGUAGUUGGUUGUCUACGCCGACGGCCGGGACCAACCCGGAGGAAGGUGGGGACGACGUCAAGUCAGCACGGCCCCUACGUCCUGGGCCACACACACGCUACAAUGGCCGGUACAGCGGGAGGAGCCAAGCCGUGAGGCGGAGCGGAUCCCUGCAAAGCCGGCCGUAGUGCAGAUCGGGGGCUGCAACCCGCCCCCGUGAAGUCGGAGUUGCUAGUAACCGCGGGUCAGCACACCGCGGUGAAUACGUUCCCGGGCCUUGUACACACCGCCCGUCACGUCACGGGAGCGGGCAACGCCUGAAGCCGGCGGGGCAACCCUUCGGGGGGCCAGCCGUCGAGGGCGGGGCUCGUGUCUGGGACGAAGUCGUAACAAGGU